rnacentral:rRNA from 1 species
GAUCCUGGCUCAGGACGAACGCUGGCGGCGUGCCUAACACAUGCAAGUCGAACGGAGCAAAGCCCUUCGGGACUUUACUUAGUGGCGAACGGGUGAGUAACGCGUGAGGAACCUGCCUUCCAGUGGGGGACAACAGUUGGAAACGACUGCUAAUACCGCAUGAUGCUUUUGAGGGACAUCCCUUGAAAGCCAAAGCUUUAUGUGCUGGAAGAUGGCCUCGCGUCUGAUUAGCUAGUUGGUGGGGUAACGG